AAGGCGAACACGCACUUAAAUCUUCUUAAGUAAAUUACCGAUGAAUUUGUAAAAACCGAGUAAUUUGCCAAAAGGCUAAGUAAUUUAACAAUGAUACAGCCGAACGCGACUCGUUGAUUUAUACUGCGUGCUUCUGUGGUUCUUUUGAACACACAGAGGUCGAAACAGUUUGAACGGCUAAUGUACAAAAGGUUAACGGCGGACAUGGAAAUGUAAACAAUUAACAGACGCCGUUGUUCGCUAUGAUAGAGAGACGCCCCGUAGAACAAUGGCCGUGCGAAGUUUGCCGAUUGAGCGAUAGCACCGGCGUCAACAAAGCCGAAAAUUGCCGAACAAAGCCGUCGGUUACCACCAGUAUAUAAGAAAAACAAACGCAUCGCAAGAAGAAAACCGAAAACAAAAGAACUGAGGCAAAAAUCCCCGAUAUAGUUCUUAUAUGUAAAUUCUUCCAAAAUUAGAACGCCUUAACGAUUCUUCUCCUAAACAACAAAGUCGAAAAUUUAAUAAACGAAGAAAGUUCUGAUAAUUAUGCAUUACUUUACUAUGUAAAACCUGUAUUAAACGCAAUGCGAAAAUUAAUCAAAUUUUUUUUAAAUUUAUCAGUUCGACCUGAAAUCCUGUUAAUACUUCAACAACCACACGUUUUGCGUAGAUCUUAUUGCCAAUCGUCGGCAUUUUUCACUUAGUAUAUCAUUAUUAUUAUUAUAUUUAUUAGUAUAAUUAUGACACUUUUUAAAAAAAUUGCAUUGGAUGCAUCAUUAUUAUUGAAUCUUUGUCGUGUUGACCUAAUUUAUUUUGUGCACUUAUGCAUAUAUGAGUUUAUUUAUUUAUGUUCUGAUUGAUCCAUACAGUUACGGAUAUUAUAAUCAUUUUCUGACUAUUCGCUAUUACUGGAACAUUAGACUUGCAAACUGCCGCUUUUCAGUGCAUUUAGAGAUCAGUUCACUUCAAUAGAACACUUUCGAAUAUAGGAAUCAUUUUUCUAACGUGUAAAUAUCGAUUAAAUAAAAUAAAAAAAUAAAAAGACUGAGGUCAUGAAAAGGUGACGACAGCCAAGAACAGAAGACACAGCGAAAUCACAUUUACGGGACAAUGGCCAUCAAACAUUUCAAAACAUGUUAAAACAGAAUGCAUAUGUUUCUAUGCAUAUGUGAAUCAGAAUCAGAGAGUGAAAUAAAAACAGAUGAAAUAAAAGAAUAUGAAAACUUAUAAAACAGCUUAAGUUAGUUUAGUUUAACUCAAUUUAGUUAAGUUUAACUAAAAAGUUAAAAUGAAUUUAAUGAAUUAAACAAAUGAAUUAAACAAAUCGAAUGCAGAAGAUUCAAUAUAGAUAAAGAGUUUUAAAGUGUUGAAGGAAAUGAAGGGAAGAGAAGUAACAAUAUGAAUAUUUUAUGCAAUGCUUUAUUAACUAUAUAGACCAACAUGAAUAUCUUGCAAAACAGUUUUUGUUUUAGGAAACACUAUUACAAAAAUUUGCAGCUGAUUAAGUAUUAAGACGUUGAAAGCACUGGUCUUUCUAAAGAAUCAUUUUACCAAACAAAGUUAAAACCAAGACGUUUAAAAAUUAUGAAGUUAUAUCCCCUUACGCUCUUUAUAGAUGCAUACUACAUCAUAGAAGUUUUUCUUUUUUAGUAACAAAAACUAAAAUUUUAUCAAACUCAAAUGCAAAAAUGCAUACUUUUUUAAAAGGAGGCAAGAGAGCAGGGAAAAUCAUCAAUGUCAUUCUCUUCUUCAUUACAAAAGGCAAUAUGCUUCUAUCAAAAUUUCAGAUGUUAGUGAUACCGGAGCACCUGAAUAAAGAAGU